rnacentral:rRNA from 1 species
GACGAACGCUGGCGGCGUGCUUAACACAUGCAAGUCGAACGGAAAGGCCCUGCUUUUGUGGGAUGCUCGAGUGGCGAACGGGUGCGUAACACGUGAGUAACCUGCCCUUGACUUUGGGAUAACUUCAGGAACCUGGGGCUAAUACCGGAUAGGAGCUCCUGCUCCAUGGUGGGGGUUGGAAAGUUUCGGCGGUUGGGGAUGGACUCGCGGCUUAUCAGCUUGUUGGUGGAGUAGUGGCUUACCAAGGCUUUGACGGGUAGCCGGCCUGAGAGGGUGACCGGCAACAUUGGGACUGAGAUACGGCCCAGACUCCUACGGGAGGCAGCAGUGGGGAAUAUUGCACAAUGGGCGGAAGCCUGAUGCAGCAACGCCGCGUGCGGGAUGACGGCCUUCGGGUUGUAAACCGCUUUCGCCUGUGACGAAGCGUGAGUGACGGUAAUGGGUAAAGAAGCACCGGCUAACUACGUG